AAGACUCUCAAUGGAAUAACUAUUCUUCGAACUUGAAAUAUUGAUAAUCUAAAAAUAUAUUAUCAAUAAAAUUAUUUGCAUAUGCAACAUAUUUAAUGGAAUGAUCGAAUUUUAAUUUUUUUGAUAUUCGGCUAUCUACAAAAAUGAUAUCAGAUCGAUGAAUAAUUGGCUAAUAUAUAUACCGACUUCAUCUCGAUCAAACGACUAUGAAUGCCGACUCAAGUCAUGAUUACUU
rnacentral:lncRNA from 1 species